GCGGCUGCGUGAGGGCUGCGCGUGUCCGCCACGCUCCCCGUCGCCGGCGGCUUUGAACGUGGCAACAUGGAAGCGGGGCGGCUUCUCGCGAGGUUUCGCCGGGAGCGCGCGGAGCUGAGGGCGGGGUCUUACUGUGAGAGGUGGGGACGGCGGUAUUGGGCUCCCGUGUGGCUUCGUUGAAACGUAACACAUUAGAUCAAGUUUUAAAUGUCAUUUUAGGAAAGAUAAUGGAGUGAAAAGCAAACUGAAUGCAGGAAAUGCAGAAAACCAACAUCCACUUCCCUGUAUUUGUCUGUCAGUAUUCACUAACUUGUUAUAGACAAACUGAGACAGAAGUUUUUGGAAGAUGGGGAAGAAAGGGACGAUAGAGUGUCUCAGUCACCUGAGCAUAAACAACUAUGAUGACUGGAGUGAUCUUCCACCAGCACAAGAAGCUGAGAAGAAAAGGGCAAAAGAUUCUUUGUGUGCCUGUAAAAGUUACCUGUGAUAUAUAUUUUCAAAAUAAUCAUCAGAAACUGGCCUUGAAAGAGCCUUAAGCUAGAAGUAGUGCUUUUCAGUUGGAUUGUGAGCAACUGAUAAAUCUAACAGUGCUAAACACAGGUUGGCUGCAUGUAAAUACUAAAACAAACCAGUGUUAGUAUUAGAGAAUCUUGGCUAACAAAAUCCCUAUUACAGUGGGAGCAGGAGGAUGGAGCUUAGUUGAUGAUUAUCAGCAUGUGCUGUCAUAGCUAUUACUGAAAGCAGUAGAAAAAAUUAACAAACAGGAGAAGAUACUUUACUGCCUGUGUAGUAUCUGAUUCUUUUUCCAGAGACUUAAUAUUUUUAGUAAUGAGCACAUCAAAACAUCAAAUUUGUUUCUAGCCUACAAUCACAUUUACUGAAACUGCUGUACAGACUACAGCUGAAGUAGAGAAGCAGAGAUAUUGAAAGGAUCAUCUCAGUUGGGGGGAAAAAAAAGGAAAAAAAAAAAGUUGAUCUGAAGUUCUGAUGAUGUUUGUGUGUGUGUGUGUGUUUUUGUUUUCUGUCUUUUUAAAGAAAGAAGUAUUUUUCAUAAAUUAGGGCAUCAUUCCUGGAGGAUGUGCAGAUAGGAGCAGAAGCAGCAGUGCGCUUAAUAAAUAGGUUAUCCUGCUGGAUCAUACUUUACUGCGAGUAAAGUAUUACUGAGCAGCUUUCCAGAAUUGAUCCAGAGUAUUCUUAUCAAGUUAUAAUCAGCCACCAUCCAGAGCUGCCGACCCCAAAUGCCACUUUGCUUUGCUUACCUUCACAUUUUCUAAUAUACUAAGCUAUUGAAUUUGGCACAUUGGAAAACAAAACAGUAUGUUCUGGGAGCAGUAGAAUACAAGAUAUCUAACUUGCUGAAGAUUUCUUUUCUUUGUCCCUUAAAUCCCUCUUCCACCUCAGCCUCAGUAGUUCCCAACUUCUGCUAAGUGCUGUGAUGAUCCCCAUGGGAUGUUCAGAUAAUACAUGCUAUCUGAUUAGCACAGAGCUUUGUGGCUAGCAUGUUCUGGCAUAGCUGGCCAGUACGUACUUGCUGAUCAGUUAACUUGCUGGCAAAUUAAAGAGCUAUGUCCUUUCUAAUGAACUUUGUAUCUUCAGUUAUAAAUAAAUACCACUCAGGUUUAUUUAACAUGCACUGCAACCUUCAGAAGCUUUUACAUAUUUAAUCUUUCCAGAAAUAAAGCAGAUAAGCAUAACUGUAUUUAAAAUAAUUGAAAAAUUGAAAGCACCUGCAGGAAAUAGGUAAACAAUAGCUACUGUUGGUAAAAACUGGAAAGAGUAGAGCUUUCUCUAUGAGAGAUCUUUUCAGCACAGAGCACUUGCUCACAGGUUCCUUGCAGGCAUUUUCAGUCUGGCUGUACGAUCAGACUAAGGCAGUAAAUAGGAUGAGUAGUAUUCCCUUCAGAAUUACACUCUUUGCUAAAGCAGAAUUGAUCAGAACUCACUCAUACCCAUGUCUUUGCAAGUCAUUUCAGCAGCACAUCCUACAGCACAGACAUACACUGCCAAAGGGAUUUUUUUUGGCCUUCGGAGUGUACUUGUGUCAAGGGCAAAAGUAAACACAAGAAAAGAAAGAUGCAACCUCAGUAUGGUAGUUGGAUAUAUCAGAUAGCACUAGCCUUCCUGGGACUUCUACCAACUCCUUCAAUUUGCAAGGUGAAAAAAUAAAACUUGAAGUUGAUAUUUUCAUUAAGUAAUUUUUAUUUUCAUUUCUCUCUAAGCCUAUUUCUUUUUCAGUGAAAUGUAUAUGGCAGUUGAAGAACUGUAACUUAAUCAUAGGAUCUUGACACACCCAUGACCUUACGUUCGUUAUGCAAGUGAAUUUCACAGUUGAAUUAUUCCUCAUGUUUCAUCCAUUAAUUUUUAGAGCCCAAUGGUAUGAAUAGAACGCGGACAGACCUGAGUGGAGUUGGCACUGUAUGUUGAUGCCUCCUUUGAGAUAAAUAAUGAUCUUUUUUUGGCAUGUUUACUCUCUGGUUAGCUCUUUGUGCAUAUCUAUAAAUAAGGUAUUUGAAUACUUCUUUUUUAAACUGUAAUUUUUUUACAUGUUCAGCAAUAAACAUUUUCUGCCAGCUGUAUGCUUUCAGGAGCUUAGCUUCAAUUUCCCACAGGUAUCUCUUUUCCUCCCACUGGAGCAUAACGCUUUAAAGUGUGGCUUGUCUUACUGUUUGUUUAAGUACUCCUUAGAUUUUUGAUGGUGGGUGUCUCUUUGUGUUUUUUGUUUGUGUUUUAAUUUUUCUGUGUAUUUCACUAUAAUAGUUUCAGAAAUUUCCACAAAAAAAAAAUUACACUGGGCUGAUACAAUUUGUACAUGGUUGCACCUAUUGACAAGUAAAACCAGAUUUCUUGCUAAGCUUUUCAAACUGAAAGAGCAAUUGCUUCAUUUGUUUAAAGUAAUAGGCAUGUUAUUUCUUGUUUGGGUGCAACCUAACUCGAGCAAACACUGAACUUUCAGCACAGCAGUGGAUUAUACAUAGGGUGCAAUAAUCUUGUCCCCCCUCACUGAGAGACAGGAAGAUAUUUUUGGUAAUCUGAAGAAUAAAUUCUGUCACAUAGGAAUGUUUGGUUACUUUUGCUUGAUGUGACAUAGCAAAAACAGUUGAAACGGACAACUAUUUCCAAUAAAAAUGUUGUUUUGUGUGAUAAUAUUUCCUAAGAGGACAUUGGUUUCCCCUGUCAAAAGUUGCAGAUAAGUGGGUUGCAAUGUCUUUGACAAUAUCUAAGUAAUUAAUAUUUGCGGUGGUGAGGUAUAAGCAAUGUUAGAGGUGUAUGUAUUAGGCCAUCUUAACAGGGAAUGAGCAAAGGCUGAGUCCAAAAUACAACCGAGGUGGGGAAUGAGAGCCAGAGACAGUGGGAAUAGGAAGUCUGAUGGUGUUUGUUAGAGGCUAUCUGGUCUUUGUGGGAUGUUAAGCUGCCAGCUGUCAGCUCCACCUGGCAGAUAGAAGUAAAUGCUGCCUUCUAGGCAGCAGUAGCAAUAACUCCCAACAAGUUGGGUAUCUUGUAGGUGUGGUGGUCAUGGCUGUGUUUCCUUUAGAUAAUAAAUAAUCUCUAAAGAAAGACUUUACUUUGCUGUAAAAGUACACCAUCAUCCUCAAUGAAAAGUCUUCUGUUUCACAGAUGCAUAGAGUCAGUUGUACUAAAAAUUUUUUUAUUUACUAUUAGUAAUUCUUGUUAGACCGUAUGUGGCCCUCUAUGCUGUUUGAUGUUAUGAAUUCCUUUUGAGGGAGCCCAUCUUCUUGUGUGUUUGUAUAGUUCUUAACUUCUACAGAAAUACCAAUGAGAAACAACUCAGUGGAUUAAUGACGGAAUCUGGCCUGUGGCAUUGAUUAUCUUCUUCCUACGUGAAAUUUGUUAGUGUAGCUCCCGUAAUGGCUCUGUCAUUGUGUUACAAAGAGUUGAAUCAUGAGAGCUCUAACUGGUAAAACCUUACUGAUUUAUGUCUGUGAAGUCUCUGGCUAUAAGCUUGUAGCCUUCAAGUUGUGUUAGCUGUUUUGGAAUGUACUCUCCUGUGGAGUCUUACAAGAAAACUCCCAUUAAAUCUUCCUUUAGUGUAAAAAUGUCCAUUCUCUAAUAUGCUUUUUCCUCGAAGUUUUUGUUGUAUGUUUCUUUAAUGCAAAUUCAGUUACUUGUUUGUAGUAAAAUUUCCAUUGACUUCAGUUUGGGAAGUCAUGCUUUAGAUUUCUGAUAUUAGCUAAUAAGUUGCUGUACAAUUUGUGCCAUUAUCUGUUACCAGUAGGUGGAAGCUAAUGCUGUAAAAACCCAAUUACACUGCCCUGUGAGAUUUAAAUGCAGAUAUGCAGGAAGAUGGUAAUAUGAACCUACAACACCUAUCACAAAACAUCAACUGAACUAGUCAAGCGUUAAGUCUAAUGUUGAAAAGAAGGUAUCUUAUUUCAAGAACUUGUUUGUUCUACUCAUGAAUGGGUAAUAAAAUGACAUGAAUGGUAAUUUAGAAAAACAGCCUGUGAACCUUUAAUACUGUGUAUGCUCGUACAAUUGGAGUGAUAUAAUUUUUUGAUGGAAACAUAUUUGGACUUUGGCAUGGAGCAGAGGUGGAUGAGGAAGAUGUGAAAGAGUCGGCAAAGAAAGGCAAUGAGAGUAGAAUUAGGGAAUUUUAUUUGCUGCAGUUAAGGGGAUGAAUAUGAACCAGCUAGUUUAAUUUGCUCAAACCCAUAUCAACUCCAAAUAUGUUUUGCUAAAUGGUUUUAAUUGUUCAUAAUUACAUUUUUAUAAAACUUGAUAUGUCGGUAUCACGUGGUAGAUACCAGAAUACACAGUAGUAAACAGUUCUUAACUCCAGUAACUUACUUUGCACAGGAAGGACAGGUAGUAAAAACAAAGAAAAGAUGUAAAACACACAUGUACCCAAAAUUAGUGUGAUGUCAGCUGUCAUGGUGUAUCCAGUGGGAUCUUGUGAGAAUUGGUGGUUGUUUGAAAAUGGAAAAUAUUGGGAUAUUCAGUAUAGGGAGCACUGAAAAUAUUACCAUCUGACAUUAGCUUAUCAGUGAAGCUGAGGAGAUUGAUUAGAUUGAUGGCACUGUACUUUAUUAAUCCAAAACUAUUAAAAUACAGUUAAUGUUCUGUUUGACAAGUAGAUCCAUCAAACUUGUUGAUAUGGCUAGAGGAUAUUGCUCUGACAAAAAGGUAAGACAGGUGUUUUUCUUCCAGAAGUUCAUGGUGUUUUUUUUUUCAUAAUUUCAUCUCACGAACUAGAGCAGCCUACAGGUGAUGGAUAGCCUCGCAAACAGCUGAGUUCAUGUUUUGAACCCCUAUUUAUGCAGGUGUUCCACCUGUAGCAUCCAAAUAAAGACCAGCUGGGGCUUCUUCAUAGUAGGCUACCAUUUCCACUUACAAAAGGAUAGCAGCAUGACCUUAAUGCACUGGCAGAAAUGUGCUGAGGGAUCACACGAGGGAAGAAGACUUGUGAUCUCAGCCUCUGUGAAGGCAGAUAAGUUUUUGAAAUGUUAUUUAUAAGAGAAGGAAAAUUGUUUGCAUCUUAUCUCCCCGUGGAAGAUCAUUGUCCAAACCCAUGGGGAGAAACUGCACAGGGCCAAGUAAAACCACAGACUCCUUUGCUUGCCUUGAAUGUCUUCUUGCAGACAGAUCUGCCCACUUCUAGCUUUGCAUCAUCUCAGGAUCCUGUAGUCAAAGUGGGACCUCUUAAGCCAUAGCAAACCUCAAACCUUGCCUUCAGUGCUCAGGAACUUAUUAUGGAAGCAAGUCUCUCUCCUGCAACAUCUGUGUUUUCCUUCAGUCCAGCCUACUCCAGACUCCUGCUCCAAUCUUCGCCAGUCCUCUAGUCUGAGUUUUAACAAGAUUUUCUGUUAAUACAGAACAUGGUUACCCAUCUGCUAAAUAAGCAGACUAAAGUUUGUUGAUGGGGCUUCAGCGCAUCAGCCAACUUCACAGUAAACUUGGUUGGCUGAUCCCUAUCCAGUACAGAUGAAUUGUCAAAAAAAUCAAUCCUGAUACACCUUUUAUUUGCCUAUUCAGUGAGUGAGAACUUGCUCUUGCAGAAACAUUGUAUGGGUACUGGCAAAUAACAGUGCGUUUCCAACAACUCCUAGUUGUGUACAGGAGCAGCAAUGUCUCUGUUGGGGGAAUCUGACAAAUGUGCAAUGUUCGUUCUGGCACUCCUUCCUAUUUCAGACUAUUGAUAAGCUUUCCCUCUUAGAUCUUCAUAGGUUUCUAAAUUAACCGUGAAGUAUUUGCUUUGACCUAUAGAUAAAUAAAUGUCCCAAGGUUUAUCUGAGAAUGUUUCCCAAGAUUGAAAUAAGAAAAUAAAGUAGCAGAUGAACUGUUUCCAAGAUCUAUAAACUGUAUGAGCAACUUGUUCUGACUGCAAGGCUGGCAUUUCUGCUCACCCUGUGACCAUGAGAAAUUGGAUAUUUAGUGGGGUUUGCCAGUGGGAAAAUGGAAAUUGUGGGGAGUAGGAAAGUGUAUUUACUUUAUAUUCUUACUGAAUUGUCUGAUUUGGUCUAAGGAGGAUUCAUUAGUUUGUUUAUGUAUUGUGGGUGGCUUUUAAGAGUUUACCAGUUAUACGUACAACAUUGUAAGGUGGCUUUUAAGUCAUGCUAUCUAGUAAGUAAAAUCCAUUUUACUUACCAUGCUAUGUAGUAAGUAAAUUACACAACAAAGUAAUACACAGCAAAUGAUAGUUAAGAAAGUAUUUUGUAUUUAUAUACAUACAUAUAUCAUAAACUUUAUUUAUAAUCCUAAGUUUAUUUGCCCAAGUAUAAAGCUAUGCAUUUUUAUUUGUAUACUGUGCUCAUUUACAGUGUCUGUGGGUGAUGAAAAUAGAAUACGUAAUGUACAGAAAAUGACCUUGGAAUACAGCUGCAUGUUUAAGUGUGUAAUAGAACUGGUUUCUUUCUCAAGCACAGCAGUGAAACUUCUGACAGUGAGAUAAGAUAAUAGGAUUUGGUAUACCAAACCAGCUCUGCUGUCUACAUAAUCUAGAAGUGCUGAUAAACUUCUGCUUAAGAAGAAGCCAAAAACAAACAUCGGAACGGGUGACACACAGAGGCAGCUGCUGAAGCCUACACGUGGGGAACAUUUCUUUCUAAUCUUUGUAUGUGAUCAGGUUAUGCCCUGACAUAGGACCCUGGAGUGCUCAUGUUACCCUAAGCUGGCUCAGCAGUGAGUGCUUUCGAGUUGCCAACUCAUCAUCCAGCUCCUCACAAAACCUUACAGUCCAUGUGUUGCAUACUCAUGCUGAAGGAAAUGCAACGUUGCUAUUAUAAAUUAAAUCCCUCUGUGUUAAAUUGAGUUGUUUUAGCUUGAAAGGUAAAUCAUUACUUCAAAUUCCACAAAACAGAAGCUUGAUUUCAUGAGGAACUUCUUCAUUUUCUGGAAGUGUAACUUUUUUGUUUUUCCCCCCCAAGCUAGAGAAUUCUAACCUUAAUUAUUCUGUACUGAUAGAAAAACUUGAUAUUACACUGGCUUUAUUUUUGGCCUUUUUCCCUUCUGAACGUUUACUAACUUUAAGCUGAAAGAGGACUCUGAAUGCCUUCAAGAAACUUGUAAUAUUGAUAGAGAAACAACAUAGUAGGGAGAUAGGGAGAGAGGACCAGCUGUUCAAUACUGAAGACAAACAUCCUCCUGUAUCUAAUAUAAUUUGCAUACAUUAUCAUGAUACUUAUUUUUAGUUCCACACAGCACUAUUUUUUUCUGAUUUAGAUGUGCUGUCUAGGUUACUAUUUUAUACUAAUGAGAGACAAAUAAUAAUGUUUUGCUUUGUUUUGGGAUUAGAGAAUGAGCAGGCUGGGAAUUCUGAAUUGAGAAUGGUAUUGUAGAUUGACAGGUUCCAGCUGAAAUUUGUCUAUUUGAGAAGACAAACAAGAUCAAACCAGUGGGAGCAGCCUUGCAGGACAAAGAUGAACAGUAGUUGCCCAAUGAUAAUCCCAAGCUGAUUUGCUGGAAGGGUAAUUCUAAGUGUAGCUCUUUUACCCAAGGAGGCAAUGCCUGUGCACUGCACACAGGCAGCAGUGGCAGUUCAUGUCUCAGAUAUUGCUUGUGUUAGAGCAUCGCAAAGCAGAACUGUGUGCUACACAUGCAGAUGAACUGAAAGAUGUGAAAAAGGGCUAAUUUGAGAUAACACCUUCAUGGACACAUGGACACAAUUUUUUAGGUGACUAAAAGGUAGCCCAGUAAAGUACGAAUGUUGCUACACCCAGAACAUACUUGUUAAACUGUAAAUUUUGCUCCUUUUAUUAAGUGUAUGGCUUAUCAGUGUGUAUAUUUAAUAGAAAGAUGGUUUUGCACCUUUUUUCCUCACUUAUCAUUUCUUUCCAUACUUUCAGCUCUCACUUUCCCAAAGGCUGGCUAAGACAGAAACAUGGUAAAUGUAAUAAACAUGCUAACCUAGCAAACUAAUGCAAGAUGUUAUUGGGGAGAGGAGGAAACUUCAUUGGCCAUGGAGUACAGAGAUCCUCCAGCUGGUCCAAAAUGAUAUGUUUUAAAGGUGUGGGGAAGUGAAUCGUGAUCAUUCUGCUUUUAGACCAGAGCCUGGCCCCCUCAGGACACUUCAGAUACUGUGUCCAACAGGGUGGCUGACCACAACCUAAAUAAGGUGACCAGAGGCAUUCCUAACAUCGGGCUGCUAAGCAAAGUGUUGAUCUGUGUUCCCAGAGAUUUCAGCAUUUGUAACUAAGAAGGAACAGGCAGGUGGUUUAGUUUCUCAGUUCAGAAGCACAGUUCUUGGUGAGGAUUUCAGCAGGCUUUCUUUUAGGAGAGAACCCAUAGCAGCUGCACCUCAUCUUUAUCAUCCCAACACUUACAUUAGCUAUGUUUAUAUGCUGCAUCUUUUAUUUGCCUACUAUCUUGUUUGCAUUUUUAAUUGCUGUUGUGCUACUGGGUUAGAAGAAGGAAUUUCUGGGAAAAGUUAUACAAUCAGUCUUGCACAGAGGUUGCAGUAGUGUGGUCACUGAUGCAAUCAUUUGGGCACGGACCUUUUCUGAGCUUCUUGAGUUUUUUUCCUAUUGAAGGUACCGAAUUGAGUGCUGUGUAUGUUGUGACACACUGGUGUUUAGGAGAAUGUACAGUCCCCAUAGUAUUGAAUUAGGAUAGACUUUCUGAAGUGUAGUGUGGUUGCAACACCCAUGCAAAGGAGUAGCAUCAGGAAGAGUAUUAUUGCAGCAAGAGGGUGAUUUGGGGCUGCUCAGACCUGCAACAGCAGUCUGUAGGCAGUGCUCAGAGGACUGCUAUAAAUCAUAAUGGUUCCUAGCUGCCUGCCAAUGUAACCAGGCACCAGAGAGUGAUCUGCAAAAAUAAAGCAGAUACACAAGGGAAUGUGGGAAAUCUAUAGAAGAUGCUUGUAGAAGAUCAGUGCAUAGAUACCUACAAUAGCUCUCUCUGCACUCUCAGCCACUGAAUUUAUUUAUUUAUUUAUUUAUUUUGUGAAACUAUACCAAUGAUGGGCAGUAUCAUAGCUUAAUGUUUUGAAUGAAUAGAAAGCUUUUAAUCAGAUCUGUUGUUUGCAUAGGAAUAAACGCUUAAGUUCUUUUGAGGUGAUGCUUAACUUUGGGAGUCUUUUUGACCAGAAGGGUCUGGGGGUCUGGCAAUGGGGAAAUGGCAUAAAGAUGCAGCCACAAGUAGAGUUCAGCAUUUCUCAGGCUUAGCAACUCGGCAUUGAUGACUCUGUGUGUAUAAAUGAGCUUAGCACAGUUCCCGAGGUAAUGAGCUCUGACUCUUGCUGCCACACAAUACCAAGGGUGCAGAGCAGCACUAAUGCAGUUUUGCUGUUCUGUGCCUGGGAACUGGCUCAUCGAUCUUGGGUUCCUAUGCAGCAUUCUCUCUCCACAUCGUGUUUAGCACAGUCAGAGCCAGUUCAGGUCUGUCUGCAUCCAUCAGCACAGCAUGGCCAAAGAGCUUGUCUUUAGUGUACUUUGAGUGAGCCCAGAUGAGCUGUGCUUGUUCUGUUCUUUUGAGCUCCUUUAUUAACCUUUGGACAAUAAGUGGAGUGUUCUUCAGGCUUGUGAUUUACUAGUGUGUAAUGAAGAAUAAAAUUGCUUUUGUUCUUUAAAAAGUUGAAGAGACCUUACUGGAUUCUGAAACUGUGACAAAAGCUGGUUUGAACCAGUUGGGUCUUUCUGUUGCUUUUCUUUUUCUUUUGUUUUGGUCUUUCAACUCUAUUGUCAGAAGUGCGAAUGUGCUAUUUUGGCAAGGUAUCAUUUUCCAGUUCAUUGCUUUGGAAUGCUAUGUGAGAAAUGUGCAUUCACACUACAAGCGCUUUAAUGGGUAAUUAGAUAAGUGCAAUUUAAUGUGAGAAAUGAAAUUUUUAAAAUCAAUGUUUAUGUAAUUUAUCUGUCAAGAAAUAACCUUUAUGCUACUUUGAGGGAUGCAAA